CAUACCAUUUGCAAAAGUAGACAACUCAGUGUAUUGCAAAUGGGUUAUGUCCAGUCUUUUUUAGUCGCCACUUAGUCACAAACACUGGUCAAAAUUAGCGUUCAAUUUAGCUUUAUGCAUUUUUCACACACAAACAAACUUAUGCCAGUGUUUGUGACUAAGUGGUCACUAGAAAAGACUGGACAUACCACAUUUGUAAUACCUUGGGUUGUCUACUUUUGCAAAUGGUAUG